AGAGUUUGAUCAUGGCUCAGAUUGAACGCUGGCGGCAUGCCUAACACAUGCAAGUCGAACGGCAGCACAGUGAGGAGCAAUCCUCAUGGGUGGCGAGUGGCGGACGGGUGAGUAAUGCGCAGGAAUCUGCCUUGAAGCGGGGGAUAACUCGGGGAAACUCGAGCUAAUACCGCAUAAUAUCUGAGGAUUAAAGGAGGGUUUUCGGACCUUUCACUUCAAGAUGAGCCUGCGUCGGGUUAGCUAGUUGGUAGGGUAAAGGCCUACCAAGGCGACGAUCCGUAGCUGGUCUGAGAGGAUGAUCAGCCACACUGGGACUGAGACACGGCCCAGACUCCUACGGGAGGCAGCAGUGGGGAAUAUUGGACAAUGGGGGCAACCCUGAUCCAGCAAUGCCGCGUGUGUGAAGAAGGCCUGCGGGUUGUAAAGCACUUUUGUAGGGGAGGAAGUUGCAUGGGUUAAUACCCUGUGCAAUUGACGUUACCCUAAGAAUAAGCACCGGCUAACUCUGUGCCAGCAGCCGCGGUAAUACAGAGGGUGCAAGCGUUAAUCGGAAUUACUGGGCGUAAAGGGUGCGUAGGUGGUUUAUUAAGUCGUUUGUGAAAUACCCGGGCUUAACCUGGGUGCUGCGAACGAUACUGGUAGACUAGAGUAGGAGAGAGGGGAGUGGAAUUUCCGGUGUAGCGGUGAAAUGCGUAGAUAUCGGAAGGAACACCAGUGGCGAAGGCGGCUCCCUGGCUCCAUACUGACACUGAGGCACGAAAGCGUGGGGAUCAAACAGGAUUAGAUACCCUAGUAGUCC
rnacentral:rRNA from 1 species